GCGCGUUCCCGGCACUCUCAGGGAGAGGAGCAGGGCGGGCCUGGACCUUUGUUCAGUCCUGCCCCAGGGAGUCUCAGCAGGGCCACAAGCUGGUGCACCGCGCUGGAGGCGGGGCUGGACCCGGGACUCAGGGACCCUGGCGGCAGAGGCGCUCCAGGCAGCACCGGAGGCAGCUGCUGACAGACACUGCCUCUCUUCCUUCCGGGGAUACCAGGGAGGUUGCCAACUGCCCAGGUCAGGCUUUGGCUGAAGCAUCUGCUCCAGCGGAGGGAGAUGUGCCCCAAGGCGUAUAUCCAUGGUGAUUAUAAAUGGACAAGAUUAAGCAUGCCGGUAGCAAGCUUGGAGAGAAGGCUUGAGUCACCUAUAACUUCUCCCUUCCCUGGAGACAACCCCCACCUCCUGCUCUUUCCUGUCACUGAGAGCCAGACUUCCUCUAGGAAGGCCCCCGGAUGCACGGGAAGACUGGGGGACUGCUGAGGCAUUCUCGCUACUUAAUGGGAUGGUCCAGUUUGGAAAAGCCAAGGUCCUUCCUCAGUUCCAGUGCUGGGCAGUGUGCUAUCCCUUCCAUUACACACCAUAGUCUAUACUGGAGAUGUUUUCCAUUCACACAGGAAGAUGCGGACCAUCUAUCUUCACUCU